rnacentral:rRNA from 1 species
UACGAAGGGGGCUAGCGUUGCUCGGAAUCACUGGGCGUAAAGCGCACGUAGGCGGCUUUCUAAGUCAGGGGUGAAAUCCUGGAGCUCAACUCCAGAACUGCCUUUGAUACUGGCGAUCUCGAGUCCGGGAGAGGUGAGUGGAACUGCGAGUGUAGAGGUGAAAUUCGUAGAUAUUCGCAAGAACACCAGUGGCGAAGGCGGCUCACUGGCCCGGUACUGACGCUGAGGUGCGAAAGCGUGGGGAGCGAACAGG